CCGUAGCGAACAGCUCAGUAACACGUGGCCAAGCUACCCUAUGGACGUGGACACCCUCGGGAAACUGAGGCUAAUCCGCGAUACGGCUCCCACGCUUGAAUGCGGGGAGCCGGAAACGCUCCGGCGCCAUAGGAUGCGGCUGCGGCCGAUUAGGUAGACGGUGGGGUAACGGCCCACCGUGCCGAUAAUCGGUACGGGAUGUGAGAGCAAAUAGCCCGGAGAUGGAAUCUGAGACAAGAUUCCAGGCCCUACGGGGCGCAGCAGGCGCGAAACCUUUACACUGCACGCCAGUGCGAUAAGGGGACCCCGAGUGCGAGGGCAUACAGUCCUCGCUUUUGUACACCGUAAGGAGGUGUACGAAUAAGGGCUGGGCAAGACCGGUGCCAGCCGCCGCGGUAAUACCGGCAGCCCGAGUGAUGGCCGCUGUUAUUGGGCCUAAAGCGUCCGUAGCCGGCCGAACAAGUCUGUCGGGAAAUCCAUCCGCCUAACGGAUGGGCGUCCGGCAGAAACUGUUCGGCUUGGGGCCGGAAGAUCCGAGGGGUACGUCCGGGGUAGGAGUGAAAUCCUGUAAUCCUGGACGGACCGCCGGUGGCGAAAGCGCCUCGGAAGGACGGACCCGACGGUGAGGGACGAAAGCUGGGGUCUCGAACCGGAUUAGAUACCCGGGUAGUCCCAGCCGUAAAC
rnacentral:rRNA from 1 species